GGUACAGAGUCAAUGUGGAGGAUAUAUACAGGGUGUUAUGGUACAGAGUCAAUGUGGAGGCUAUAUACAGGGUGUUACGGUACAGAGUCAAUGUGGAGGCUAUAUACAGGGUAUUACGGUACAGAGUCAAUGUGGAGGCUAUAUACAGGGGGUACCAGUACAGAGUCAAUGUGGAGGCUAUAUAAAGGGGGUACCGGUACAGAGUCAAUGUGGAGGCUAUAUACAGGGGUUACCGGUACAGAGUCAAUGUGGAGGCUAUAUACAGGGGUUACCGGUACAGAGUCAAUGUGGAGGCUAUAUACAGGGGGGUACCGGUACAGAGUCAAUGUGGAGGCUAUAUACAGGGGGUACCGGUACAGAGUCAAUGUGGAGACUAUAUACAGGGGAUACCGGUACAGAGUCAAUGUGGAGGCUAUAUACAGGGGGUACCGGUACAGAGUCAAUGUGGAGGCUAUAUACAGGGUAUUAUGGUACAGAGUCAAUGUGGAGGCUAUAUACAGGGUGUUAUGGUACAGAGUCAAUGUGGAGG
ensembl:lncRNA